UACGUAGGGCGCAAGCGUUGUCCGGAAUUAUUGGGCGUAAAGAGCUCGUAGGCGGCUUGUCACGUCGAUUGUGAAAGCCCGAGGCUUAACCUCGGGUCUGCAGUCGAUACGGGCUAGCUAGAGUGUGGUAGGGGGGAUCGGAAUUCCUGGUGUAGCGGUGAAAUGCGCAGAUAUCAGGAGGAACACCGGUGGCGAAGGCGGAUCUCUGGGCCAUUACUGACGCUGAGGAGCGAAAGCGUGGGGAGCGAACAGG
rnacentral:rRNA from 1 species